UUUUGACCCCUCUACCCAAUGGCUGCAGGAGGCACAGAGUUUUGGGGAGUGCAUAUAAUCAACAUAUUAUCUGAGGUGCUUAGAUAUUGAUCCAGUAUUUCGAGGUAGUUCAAAUUCAUCACUUUUGGCCCCACGGGUUUGACCUCAAUUUUUUCCCCGAGCUGUACGUGGACGAACAUUUCCCCCUUGCUGAAAUGCCGAAGAGAAAGUCUCCAGAGGGUCCAGAGGGCAAGGAAGCCCCCAAAGUGACGAAGCAAGAGCCCACCAGAAGGUCAGAGAGGUUGUCAGCGGUAAGUUUCCUGUCCUCACUAC